GUCGCGAUCUGAAUAAAGGGUAGUUCACCGGGCCUCUUUUCCGGCGUGUUGGUUCGAAUCCAGCUCGCGACA
rnacentral:tRNA from 1 species